CAGGAGCUGAGUGCCUCCGAGGGCAGAGCCGGGGAGGCGAGCACCUGCCCCGCGAGGUGCCCCACCUGCCCCAGGUGUGCCCUUCGGCGGUUCCUCUGAGCCAGCAGCGGUGGCCAGCACGCUGUGGGGGUCGUGGCCCGCCCGACUGCCUCACCUGGACGCUCAGCCUACCGACACGGGACCGCGGUGACACUGGCCCUAUAGGUCAGCACCUGUAGGUCUUACCACUAUAACUGAAAGGAUUCAAACUCUUGAUGCAGAUUUCCCAAAGUUCAGAAGAGGAGGUUGGGCACUCGGCCACUGCCUGCCUGACAUAGCCCACAGGGGAAGUUUUGAUCCAGCCUUUGAAACGGACACAGAGGCUUUGCUAGGGCACAUCAUAAAAGGAUAUAAAUUUGAAAGAGCUGGUACCUAAAAGGCUGAUUACUUAACAUCUUUGUAGUCAAACAGAGGUAAUUAAGUGGCACCAGGUGGUUCAAUAACAAUGUUCUGUUUAAAACCAGAAAAAGAUAAUGGCAUCAAAUCAGACAUAUGUUUCCAAUGAGAAAAGGACCUGGUUGGUUCUUGCUCAUCCUCAGACAGUGACUGUGCCUCACUGCCAGACUUGGAUACCUCAGCAGUUUAUCUACCCAGAAAGAUGAAGGUGUGAUUAUCGCAUAAUAAGCUUACUCAUGCUCGCUCUGCUCUUGCUGGCACAUGCACAGCAGUUACUAUGCAAUGACAGUCUUCUCUGCAACAACCCAAGUGCAACUUCUCUUCAGCCUAGGGUCCCACUGCAGCCAGUGCUGCUGUGCCCCCACCACUACAGUCACGUGUGCUGGUCAGGGCAGAGCUGCCAUGGAAAGAGAGUCAUGCUGCGGCCCUGGCUCGGUGUGCUCCGUCCCCUCACCUGUGCUAUCAGCACCAGAUGCACAGCAAUUCCUGCAUAAGGUGCCCUCUAUCCACCCUCAGGAUGGCAGAGAGAAGGGGAUGGCCCCUCUGCCCCUUCCCUGCUUUGGAGCUUGGCAGCAGCUGUCAUGGUGGCUAAACGGGCUGUUAAAGGGGUUCAUGGCAGGGACGUUUGUCAAGCACCAAUUUUCCAUUCAAACCUACAGUGUCAUUUCAGCUCCUAAUUAUAGCCAAGGUACCUUUUGGGGUUAUGUGGUGGGCUGUUUUUUAUUUUAGAACAGGCUGCUCCUGUUUGAUAUUAGCAAUGCAGAAUCACUACUCAUGGCUGGAUGAAAAUAAGCCCUGGCUUUCCCUACUAUACCUGUUUGCUGGAGCCAUGGCUCCUACAUUGGUCCUUCUGCCAGGAAGCUCAGAGGUAGCAGGAGGCUGAAAUGAACAUUUCCCAAUAGCUCUCUGUCUUGGGAAGUUAAUUCCAUCAGGAUGUAACAUUGCUUCUAGAGAAGCUGCCGUUUUUGGAGUUGCAGCUGGUGCUGACGAGGCAUUGCUGUGAGCUGUGAGAAAGUCCACACAGAUAAAAUUCUUGUCUAGUCUGACUAACACUGCCCUCACCCUCCUUGGGGUCUUCUGAGCUGUUCCUGAGGACUGUAUGUGACACUGCUGUCUACAGGUGGGUUGUAGCUCCAUGCCUCAAUCAACUGAGCACUGCAGAAUUGGGAGCAUAUGCCUCAUUAGUGAGAAGGGACUCACUAGUGCAGGUGUGAUUCAUCACUUUGGAGAGCACGUCAGGGAUCAGGGCACGAAUCGGCUUGACUAACAGAGGUAAUAACGAUGCAGGCAGGGGCCACGUUACAGAACCGAGCAACAGAACAGCAGCAGCAGCUGAAAAAACUGUGUAGUGGGACAGAGCGAGAGCACAAAGCAGAAACCUGGCUGUCCACAACACCUGUAUCUGGGUUUCAGCUAGGAACAAAUCCCGGCUGUCCAGAGAAUCUGGAUUAUAUCCUUCUCACAAAUUCCUUUUGGAGGUUCUUCAUGUAUGUCUUUUUCUAGACAAAUUAGUCUUGGGAUCACAGUGGCUGCACAGCAUCCACUGCAUACUAAAGAGCUAUUCUGGAGCCAAAUGCCAGGGAACAACAGUGCCCGGCUGCAGAGAGAAGCACAUAAUUCCAGCUCGGCUGAGCAGCGAGAUGUGCAGGGACAUCUCUCCAGAGAGAUCGUGGCUCCUCUUCCAUCUGGCAGCACAAAAGAGGACAGGCCUGAAUCCUCAAGACACAAAGAUUAUAUUAUGUAAUGUGCACACUCGCUGCUUCCUGAGACAGAGCUGAGUUAAACUAUCCGUGUGAUUCAGUCCGAGGCCAAGCCAGAGAGGAGCUGCAUUUCCCUCCCUGAACCUGGGGCAUUCUGGAGCAAGUGAGUAGCCUGAGGCUGGCGGGGGAAGGUAGAUCCAAUUCCAGCGUGCAGUGACAAACACGGCACUGCCUGCAAGUGUAAAAUCGUGGCUUUCCAUAAGAGUGCUUAUCAAAAAGCAUGCCCACGAGCAAAUGCAUGAGCCUUUUGGGGGGAAGGGUUUGGUAAAUUCUUUUUGGCUUCACUUGUGUAGAGGAAAUUUCUGACAAAAAUUUCUAACAUAUUGUAUUUGGACAGGCAUGUAUCUCCUCCAGAGGAAGCAAAAGCACUGACAGCUGGAAAUUCUGUUUGUUUGAAGACUUGGUAUUCCUCUUCAAGUUUUACUCCACAGGAGAGGAAUAAUCCUGACAGUAUUACAAAGGCAUUAUUGUUCCAGCUGUAAUCCCUGUGCUCAAAUCCACUCUGGUUACUUCCAUCCUGAUUGCAAACAGAGAACUUCCCUUUGUAUUUGUCAGGAUGUGGCAGACAGAUUGAAAGUCACUGUUUUCUAUGGUCAAAUGGCAUUGAAGGUGGAAAGACUGCAGUGUGAUCCUGUAAUAAGCCUACAGGAACGGGAAAGGAGAAUGAAGGGCACUAGAACAAAAAUAACAGACCAUGAGAGAAAUGGAUGAAUGACAGGAAAAACACAGUUGUGGAAAAGCCAGAUGACAGACAGGUAAGGGGGAGAAGAAAUGUGUAAGGACAAGGGUGAAGCUCCCUACACAUUAUAAUGUCCAUAGGCAGGACUGGCCAGAGGGCCAGGCUGUGCCCACAAAGCCAGCAGAGGGAGAAACAGGUAAGUGCAAUCAUCAGUGUGGAGGAAGGGAAUUGUUUCCAAAAGGAAGUGACAAACUCUUUCACUGUGAUGCUCUGUGAGGGCACAGACCUAGGCUUGACUCUACAGGUCCAUGUUGUCGGCAUGUGAGAGGCCAGUCAGAGCAGACAGGAUGUCCCAACCCUUUCUUAGCUUAUUAAACCAAAUGACACGAAACAAGAUGUAACAGAAACUCUGCUCGCAGUGGGACAGAUAGGACUGAGCUCCCUCAGCUAUCACAUGUGGCCUAACUUUAGCCAGACUCCUAUGAAGAGACCCAAGCUUCCCUACUCCAGGCGUGUAACAAAAGUAAAUAAUUUUCCUGGAAUUACUCCUCACCCUGCCUCCUUCCCACACACCCUUUCUGAGUCUCAGUCUCAGUUCACACAGCUAAGAAUGCAAUUAAUUAAGCUGAUACAGCUGGCUCAGCUUUGCAGUUGUAGAGCCCACGGCUGGCAAAUGUCACCUCUUUCAUAUCAGACAUCCCUGUUGCCAAACUACGAUCAACUUCACAGUCACAUCUCUGUAGAAGGCACUGCUGUGCAAGUGGAGGUGAACCACAAGGCAGGCGGGAAGCACAUUAAAGGGGAGGUCUGAGUACAGGUUCUAGGGAAAAAAUCCCCAAACCUCUGAAAAUCACUGAAGCAAAACUGAUGUGGUUUUAACAGUGACAGUCGUCUUUCUCUCCAUUUGUCACAGUCUUGAGGCAUAAAAUGAAAAUGUGCCAAAUAUUAAAUAGGAGAGGACUGCUCAAUUGGUCAGCCUGUCUUUGGCUUACGUUGAGAUCAGCAAUUAAUAUACGAGGGAGAAAAUUAAAUCACUUCACAAUUUUCCACUUUCAGAUGACCUGAGCUCUCCUUAGUAAGAGCAAAGCUUUUCACAAGCCCAUGCAGAUGUUUUACGAGCACAAUAAACUACGUAUGUGAUGGAGUCAUCUCUUUCUGAAAUGUGAUCUGAACCACAGGAUUAUGGCUGCUUUUCAGAGAGACAGGUGGACUCUUCAGCUGCAUUAAAAAGGAUCCCUGAUUAUCAGUGACUUUCUGGGAUAUCCACCUAGAGGAAACCAGUAGUUCCCAGUUUCCAGGUGCUCUCAUCUAUUUACCCAGCUGACAAAAGCCUCAUGCAUAGUAAGAUCUUAUCAACAGUGGCACUUUAUGAAAUAUCUUAAUUACCUCAAUUUCCUACAGCUUCUUUCACUUUCCAGAUGAUUUAGAGCUGCAAACAAGACUCCCAGAAGACAGUAUAGAGACUGUGCUCAUGACACCACUUAAAUAAGAACAUGACAGCAAGUCAUUCUCUUUCUAAUAAUAUCAAAUAUUUAAAAAUAUACAUUGACUGAGCUUAGACGUUUGAAAGGUAUUGUUAAUUUCUAAUGGGUUUGUGCAUUAAAGGCAUGAGGACUAAUGACAGACUAGGCAGAUCAAACAGAGGUUUUUCCUGACACUCCAGCUCUGAAGGACUCAAAUGUGGAUAAGACUGUUAUGUAAGACAGGCUUUUGGAUAUCACUGAAGUGCUUUACAAUUACGAUUGAAUAUUAAUAAAAGACUUAAACUGAAAACCUCCAGCUAUUAGAAGGAUUAGGACUUUGCAGUGGGCUAGGGGAAUACAUACAAUGUCAAAGCCAUUUUCUUGGCUGUGAUCAAAGGCAGAAAAGGCUGUGGCAGAAACAGCAUCUUGGAAGAAGGGGAACAGAGCUUCAGCAUCACAUAACAAUAUUAAUUAACAAUAACAUUAUUAACAAUAUAAUAUAACAGUAGUAGCAGUAAUAAUAAUAGCAGCAACAACUCAUGCAGAGAUUGCAAUACCUGGCAGCAAAAGAAAAAAUCUAGGGGUGCAGCUAGAGACUCUCUGGCUAAGCAAUGUGCCUUUGACAGCAGGUGUCCCUACACCAGGGGAAAAGCAUCUGCUCAUUUACUCCCCUGCGGCUGUCCUGGCUUUCCUGGGAAGAGCUGUGAGAACAGAACUCACACGGUGCUUUUGUCAUUCAGUGACAAUGUCAGCUCCUUACACCAGAGCACUGGCCAAGAGGAAUUAGCACGGAUCUUUACAGGGCUCAGUGCCACGCAAACAAACUGGGCUUUAUUAGAUUUAUUUUCUGGAGAUUGAUUCUUUCUUUCCAAAAACAAUCUCUCAAGGAAGUGCCAUAAAGGGUAUUUCCUUCGAGUGCCCGGGCUAUUUCCCUGUGAUGGGAUUCCCAUGGGAACAAUUGCUCCGAAGGUUUCAUUGUGCUCCACAGAAAGCUCAGUUUGUCAUACGCUGCAAUCAGGCAAACAGCAUUGCUGCAUUUUGAAUAUAUUUCUUACUUACAAGGUCUCCUCCUCUUGGAAAAACCUGGGGACUCACCCCCCUUGCCAGUGUGCCAUUCCCAGACCGUGCCUUCUACUGCAGGGACUGUGCCUGGAGUGUUUUGCCUCCCAAACCACAGCCCUGGCUGCUGUAACCGUACAGUUUCCCAGGCUCAGGAACAUGAACAGGGCAAAAGCCGUCACUGGGUUAAGCAGAGACAGCUGGAAAUGCGUCAUUAAUAAGGAAUAACUUUGAAAGCAGUUUGGGUGCAGAGGGAUUAAAGAGGGCCAUAUGGUAUCAGGAAUAAAAAGAUGCCGAGGAGUGUAACUUCACUAGAAAAGAAGAAGCUACCAAGAUGCCCAGAAGAGCUGAAAGUCUGGAAAUACAGAAGGCAAUUGGGAAAAUAUAAAUUGCAUGUGUAUGUGCUAGAAACCUGUGUUUAUCUAAAAGCCAUGUAUGCCAGUAAAAAGGAAGACAAUCAA